AUUAGACGAAUCAUCUGGAAAGAUGAAUCAAAGAAGGUAAUAAUCCUGUAGUCGAAAAUGUUGUCUCUCUUGAGUGGAUCCUGAGUACGACGGAGCACGUGAAAUUCCGUCGGAAUCUGGGAGGACCAUCUCCUAAGGCUAAAUACUCUCUAGUGACCGAUAGUGAACCAGUACCGUGAGGGAAAGGUGAAAAGCACCCCGGAAGGGGAGUGAAAUAGAACCUGAAACCGUGUGCUUACAAGUAGUCAGAGCCCGUUAAUGGGUGAUGGCGUGCCUUUUGUAGAAUGAACCGGCGAGUUACGAUUUGAUGCAAGGUUAAGCAGUAAAUGUGGAGCCGUAGCGAAAGCGAGUCUGAAUAGGGCGUUUAGUAUUUGGUCGUAGACCCGAAACCAGGUGAUCUACCCUUGGUCAGGUUGAAGUUCAGGUAACACUGAAUGGAGGACCGAACCGACUUACGUUGAAAAGUGAGCGGAUGAACUGAGGGUAGCGGAGAAAUUCCAAUCGAACCUGGAGAUAGCUGGUUCUCUCCGAAAUAGCUUUAGGGCUAGCCUCAAGUGAUGAUUAUUGGAGGUAGAGCACUGUUUGGACGAGGGGCCCCUCUCGGGUUACCGAAUUCAGACAAACUCCGAAUGCCAAUUAAUUUAACUUGGGAGUCAGAACAUGGGUGAUAAGGUCCGUGUUCGAAAGGGAAACAGCCCAGACCACCAGCUAAGGUCCCAAAAUAUAUGUUAAGUGGAAAAGGAUGUGGCGUUGCCCAGACAACUAGGAUGUUGGCUUAGAAGCAGCCAUCAUUUAAAGAGUGCGUAAUAGCUCACUAGUCGAGUGACACUGCGCCGAAAAUGUACCGGGGCUAAACAUAUUACCGAAGCUGUGGAUUGUCCUUUGGACAAUGGUAGGAGAGCGUUCUAAGGGCGUUGAAGCAUGAUCGUAAGGACAUGUGGAGCGCUUAGAAGUGAGAAUGCCGGUGUGAGUAGCGAAAGACGGGUGAGAAUCCCGUCCACCGAUUGACU
rnacentral:rRNA from 1 species